GUUGCCAUGGUGGCUACCGUGAAAAAAGCAACAUAAAAUUUGCACCGCUGGAUGGAGAUGAUCGCAGUUGGUGAGAUGGAAACAGGAUGCCAUUAAAUAGUGCAAUUUGUUUGGGAAACACAGGUCAAUGGCCAUUACAAGGCAUUUUUCAGAUAUCAUAACAAAUUGGUAAGAUAUUUUUAGGUUUUUUAUGGUUUAAAGGUCAUUUGCUUUAUAUACCACAUGACCAAUUUAAAUCUAGCGUAAUUGCUCAAUAUAUAUUUUGUACCAAGUUCAAUUUAAAUUUCUGCCUAAUUACAAUCGUGAGAACACACCAACAUUUCGAUUUUUUUCUGAGGAACAAAUCAUGCUGGAAAACUUAUGAACUGUCAACCGUUUUGGCUGAACUUUGGCCGCUCCCAGUGGCUUAAACAAAUGAGCAGAACGGGCCAAUUGACCGACCCACUACUAGCCAGAAACCAUAUCGCGUUAUGGAGUUAAAACAGCCAAUACCGAACCGGAUCGAAAUGGCUGGAACCCCAGGGGGAGUCCCAUUGAGGCGCAGGUGUAAUAAUGCCAGCUGCCACAGAGCCGGGCCAGAAAAAGGCAGUAAUUGUAAUAUGACAAACCCGCAUUAAUUUGCUCGCAAAAACUAAAGCGAAACCGAAACUCCGAAAAUCGCAGAGGCAGACAACGAGGCUCACACAGAGAGAAAAAUGUAGCUACUUGGGCUUAUAAGAUAACAAAAUUCAAUUAUUUUGAGUUUAUAUCUGCCAAUGAAUGAGAAAUCUAUCUGUCUGCACUGCAAUUACAGCGGCGGUAUUUAAUGACCGGCUCCAUCGAGCUGGCAACAAGAUUAAUGGUUCAUUCAAGAAUUCGAUUUUCGGCCAUCGGAGCAACAACAAAAGCAGGUUCAUAUCAAAAUGCAUGCCUUUUUUUUUGGCCAAGUAUUUUGGUUUUUUUUUUGUUUUAAAUUAUGAAAAAUAAAAUAUACAUCUCGUGUUUGGCUGCGGGGCGUUUUGCGAGAACAGCAACAGUGUCGAAGAACUUGGCGGUCCCAGACAUUGUGACACCAGCAAAAUGCAGCACCACCACCAGCAACUCCAAUCCCCCAAUCUCAAUUGCUCUGGCCAAGACUCGUUUUGGCCACUUGCACACCAUGAGGGUGUGGGCCCGGCCAAAUGGCUGCUUGAAUCAAAUGAUAUUUCAACAACAGUUGCUUGUGCUGAAAAAUAAUUGUUUAAAUGUCAUAAAAUAAACAACGCAAACCCAGCGGAGGGUCAGCCAAGUGUGGAUACCUAAUGGAAAUUGCAUUGAAA